rnacentral:rRNA from 1 species
UACAGAGGGUGCAAGCGUUGUUCGGAAUUAUUGGGCGUAAAGCGCGUGUAGGCGGCUUUGCAAGUCGGGUGUGAAAUCCCUCAGCUCAACUGAGGAAGUGCGCCCCGAAACUGCAGAGCUUGAGUACCGGAGAGGAUGGCGGAAUUCCCCCAAGUAGAGGUGAAAUUCGUAGAUAUGGGGAGGAACACCGGUGGCGAAGGCGGCCAUCUGGACGGAUACUGACGCUGAGACGCGAAAGCGUGGGGAGACAAACAGGAUUA